AUGAACAUCCUGGAGAGACUGGUCUUAGCCCAGCUGAGGCCACAGGUGAAGACGUUUCUGGAUCCUUUGCAAUUUGCCUAUCAGCCCCAUUUAGGAGUCGAUGAUGCUGUCAUCUACCUGCUGCAACGAGCCCAUGUGCAUCUGGAUGGUGGGGGAGGCACUGUGAGGAUCACAUUCUUUGAUUUCUCCAGUGCUUUCAACACCAUUCAGCCUCUGCUAAUGGGUGAGAAGCUGUGGGUGGUGGGUGUUGACGACACUAUGAUCUCCUGGAUUACUGACUACUUGACAGGCAGGCCACAGUUUGUCCGUCUGGGCAGUGUCCUGUCUGACGUGGUUGUCAGCGAUACAGGAGCUCCACAGGGAACUGUGCUUUCUCCCUUCCUAUUCACCUUAUACACCACUGACUUCCAGUACAACUCUGAGUCAUGUCACCUGCAGAAGUUUUCUGACGGCUCAGCUGUUGUCGGGUGUACAAGGGAGGGAGAUGAGGGUGAGUACAGGCUACUGGCAGACAACUUUGUAGAGUGGUCCGAACAGAAUCACCUGAGGCUGAAUGUCAACAAGACCAGAGAGAUGGUGAUCGACUUCGGUAGGAGGAAGAGGACGCCUUCACAGCCACUACGGAUCAGGGGGGAGGUGGUGGAGGAGGUGGAGGACUACAAAUACUUGGGAGUGGUGAUCGACAACAGACUGGACUGGAAAUCUAACACAGAGGCUGUGUACCAGAAGGGGAUGAGCAGACUGUAUUUCCUGAGGAAGCUGAGAUCCUUCAACGUGUGCAGCAAGAUGUUGGAGAUCUUCUACCAGUCGGUUGUUGCCAGCGCCAUUUUCUUUGCUGCUGUGUGUUGGGGCAGCAGCAUCAGAGCCAGCGACACCAACAGACUUGAUAAAAUCAUCAAUAAGGCUGGCUCUGUACUUGGUCUCGUCCGUGGUCUCCAUCACACAGUGGUCAGACAGCGGAGCACCUUCUCUCACAGGCUGCUCCAGCUCCGCUGUCGAAGGGACAGAUACAGGAAAUCUUUCCUGCCACAUGCCAUUACACUGUACAAUAACAGCUAA
rnacentral:lncRNA from 15 species